ACCCUCCGGUUCCCUUUCCCAUCAGAUCUUGAUGCUGGUCUUGGUGGUCGUAAAAGGAGGAAGAGCAUAAUGAAACUGGCCUCAUAGCAAUGUAGUCUGGUAUAGAGCAUUGGGUCAGAUUCAAACAUGC
rnacentral:snoRNA from 1 species